GUCAGUUUUCCCGUGCAGCCGCAGUUAAACCAUACCUGUUCAACAGCUGUCUAGCAUUUUGCAAGAAGAGGGCAGAGCUGCACAGACACACCCACAUUCCUCCCUCCAACCACAGCCUGAUAAAUACGGAGGCAAACGCAAACCAAAGGCACCUCGUUUCACCUCUGAUUCAGGAAAACACUGAUCUGCUCGUAGCAAAAAGACAAAAUGAGUGAUCGUAAGUCUCCUUCUGUGGACCUUUUGCUUUAGUUUAUCUGUUUUUGCAGCUUCAUAAAUGUGAUGUUUGUUUUAGAAUCAGGAUCUGCUUGUAGUGUUUUAGCUAAAAACAACAAUUUCACUCUCAUUUUUAAUUUUACUCAUGUUAAAUCUCCUUUCUUCCUGUUUUUAUUACUGCAGCCAACGCGGUGAGUUUUUUUCCUUUUUUCUUUUAUUAUUUUAUCAUUUAAUUUGUGUUCUUUGCACGGUAAAACUGCAACUUUUUAGAAAUAAAAACGGUUGAUUGUGUGUUUAUGUGCUGUUUUUAUGGCUGAUUAAAGGACAAACCGAAGCUUCCAGAAGAAAAGUGUGAACAUGGAAAAGGAGAACAUGGAAAAGGAGAACAUGGAAAAGCAGGACAACACGGAAAAGCAGGAGAACACGGAAAAGCAGGAGAACACGGAAAAGGAAAAGGGGAAGGUCAUGGACAUGGACAUGGACAUGGCAAGAGCUAAAAAACACUCCAGGCACUUCCUGAAUUAUUGAGAAAUCAAACAAAUAUUGUGUGAUAAUGAUUCAUGUAUGACUGUAUCGCAUCUUCAAUAAAAUAAUUCAGAAAAUGAGAA